CUGCAAACUACAACGUAUAGGAGGUCUUGCCUGCCCAGUGACAAGUUAAACGGCCGCGGUAUUUUGACCGUGCGAAGGUAGCGCAAUCACUUGUCUUUUAAAUGAAGACCUGUAUGAAUGGUGGAACGAGGGCUUAACUGUCUCCUUUUUCAAGUCAAUGAAAUUGAUCUGCCCGUGCAGAAGCGGACAUAAAAAUACAAGACGAGAAGACCCUUUGGAGCUUAAGACACAAGACCACCUAUGUCAAGAACCAAAACAAAGUUAAACUAAGUAGCCAACUGGUCUUAGUCUUCGGUUGGGGCGACCACGGGAGAAAAUAAAGCUCCCAAGAGGACUGGGAUAAACCCCAAAGCCAAGAGAGACAUCUCCAAGACACAGAAUUUCUGACCGCAAAGAUCCGGCUAACCGCCGACCAACGAACCAAGUUACCCUAGGGAUAACAGCGCAAUCCUCUUUCAGAGUCCAUAUCGACAAGAGGGUUUACGACCUCGAUGUUGGAUCAGGACAUCCUAAUGGUGCAGCCGCUAUUAAGGGUUCGUUUGUUCAACGAUUAAAGUCCU
rnacentral:rRNA from 1 species